AGUGAACGCUGGCGGUAGGCCUAACACAUGCAAGUCGAACGGCAGCACAGUAAGAGCUUGCUCUUACGGGUGGCGAGUGGCGGACGGGUGAGGAAUACAUCGGAAUCUACUUUUUCGUGGGGGAUAACGUAGGGAAACUUACGCUAAUACCGCAUACGACCUACGGGUGAAAGCAGGGGAUCUUCGGACCUUGCGCGAUUGAAUGAGCCGAUGUCGGAUUAGCUAGUUGGCGGGGUAAAGGCCCACCAAGGCGACGACCCGUAGCUGGUCUGAGAGGAUGAUCGGCCACACUGGAACUGAGACACGGUCCAGACUCCUACGGGAGGCAGCAGUGGGGAAUAUUGGACAAUGGGCGCAAGCCUGAUCCAGCCAUACCGCGUGGGUGAAGAAGGCCUUCGGGUUGUAAAGCCCUUUUGUUGGGAAAGAAAAGCAGCAGGUUAAUACCCCGCUGUUCUGACGGUACCCAAAGAAUAAGCACCGGCUAACUUCGUG
rnacentral:rRNA from 1 species